UACGUAGGAUCCAAGCGUUAUCCGGAUUUAUUGGGUUUAAAGGGUGCGUAGGCGGCCUAUUAAGUCAGGGGUGAAAGACGGUAGCUUAACUAUCGCAGUGCCUUUGAUACUGAUGGGCUUGAAUGUACUUGAGGUAGGCGGAAUGUGACAAGUAGCGGUGAAAUGCAUAGAUAUGUCACAGAACACCAAUUGCGAAGGCAGCUUACUAAAGUAUGAUUGACGCUGAGGCACGAAAGCGUGGGGAUCAAACAGG
rnacentral:rRNA from 1 species